rnacentral:lncRNA from 1 species
CGCGGCUCUCUGGGCUAAGUUCCCCCAGGUAUAAAGCUGCUGCAGCUUUCCCGAAAUGGAGACGUAUCGUCGCUGCUUCCUUUCUGGCUUGGAUUUUGCUACCAUCCCUUCCUCAACUCCCAGGAGGAGAGGGAGGCUGGUCAGCCCAAGCUGACGUCUCUGCCUCAGGGACAGCUCAAAAUCCCCGUCCUCCCUCGCAGCGGAGCCGCGCCUCGGGGCUCCUUUGUCCACCGCAAGCCCGGGCUGGGCCAGGAGGAAGACUCAGUUUUAAGCAGAAGUGCAGCGCUGCGCUUUAAGGAAAAGUUGCCUUAGUUUCACCCCGUUUUAUAUUUGAUCAUCACUUUGCUGCCAUCGCGCCCAGGUGGCUUUAUGCGUUUGUGCAGAGAGGAUCCUGGUGGACACAGAUGCCCAGAUAUCUAGGGAAAUCUUUGAGUGACAGCGACGGGAGCCGAGUCUCGGCUCGCUUGGGUUGUUCGGUGGCACAGCGGACACUCGCUCAGCUCCCUCUCAGGCCAUUCAGAAUUUAUGGGGAACGCAAGGGCUCUCCUGCGGGUGAAGCCUGUGCGCGCCCCUCCGGCUGCUUGAGAACUGUGUGCGCUCAAAUUGGUUUUGAAAAAGCUCUCCAGAGCUAAGAAGCUUUUACUUAUGUAGACUGAAUUGUCCCUACUCCGGUUGGGGGGCUCUAAAAAAAUCUGAGGAUAGAACGAGUCAGACGUUACAAACGCUUGCGUGCAUUUCUACGAUCAAUUUUGUCCAGAAAAGUGAACCAGGUCAAUGGAUUAUUUAUGAACCUGCUAGCUGUCAUCAUAGUAAGACGAGAUCAAAUAUUUAAUGUGUUGUGCCUUCAGUUACAUAGAAAAAAUGUCUAAGAAGGCAACACUGGGAUUUGUGUUUAAUGAAAGGAAGGGGAGCUAGGGGCAGCAUUAGUGUCUGGGUGUGGAGGAGUGGAGGAAAAACCGCAGCUUUCACUGUGUCCCUGUCAAUGGCUUUGUGUGGAGCUAUGGAUGCUGGAAGGCUCGGUUUUUCUACUACAGACCCCUGGGUGUUCGUGACUGUUCCACAAGGGUGAGAAGAAGGCUCCUCUGCAGCGCUUGAGAAUUUACCGUGUGUGUGUGUGUGUGUGUGUGUGUGUGUGUGCGUGCAUGUGUGUGAUGCUGGGGAUUGAACCCAGGGCUUCACACCUGCUAAGCAUGCCUCCUACCACUGAGCUACACAAAAAAGAAAUGUAUCUGGAUAUCCAGGCUGGUAGUUAUAUCUCUGAAAGACUUAGACAGACUUUCAAAUAGUCUCUGAUUCAUUAUAAAGUAGAAAAAAACCACACCCAAAAUGGCCGCUCCAUUUCCACGUGUGGGGGUUUGAUUGGCAUGAAGUAGUUUCAAUCUGCUCUUGCUCAAGUUCGGUGAAAGAGGAGAGACAGAGAGAGGAAGGAAGGAAGGGAGGGAGGAAGAAAGGAAGGAAGCCAGGCUGAGAGAAAGAAAAAAACCCAUACUGUGGUAUCCCAUCUAGGAGAUUUCAGAAGUAAUUACCAGCCCAGAUAGUCAAACCCAUUUCUUUCAAGCUCUUUGUUUCUUUCACCUCUUUGUUGAAGGUGAAAGGGGAGAAAGAAUAAAGUUGAAGUAUUAUUGGAAUCAGCAAGACCUCAAAGCCACUUGAGAGUGGUUCAGAGUCAUCUGAAACAUGGAGAGGCUUGUCCGAAAGUUUCACAAAUGGGCAGGGUGACUGGAACAAGAAUGCUUAGCUGGAGGGAUAUUAGGAGUGUGGGUUGGGCUCUCUCUGUGGCAGGCUUUCGAAACACUCUGGAUGUCCCCGCCAAGGAGCAACACAGGUAAUUCCAAAAAUUAAGCCCGCUCAUGGCAGAGUCUUCUCUUUCAUACAUUUUUUUUUUCUUUUUUGGUACCAGGGAUUGAACUUGGAUUCUUGCGCUUGCACAACAGGUGGUGAAACAACUGAGCUAAAUCCCCGGCCCUCUCUUUCAUACUUCAUGCCGUCUUUUAUUUAUUUAUUUUUUUUGAGAAAGCAACUCCGGACUUACGUUAUUCCCAGUAACAUUUUAGCUCUGCUGGGUCCCAUGAUCUUGGGCUCCAAAUGACCAGGAAGCAAGGAGACGUGCAUUACAUGGAAUCCAAGUCCCCUCCAAUUCAUUCUCUAACUGUGCCAUGAACCUCUCUUUCCUUUAAGAAAAUGGGAGCUGUGUUGAUGGUGCAAAAUUGCCCAAGAGCUUGGACUCGACUCAAGAUGUUGUUGUCAAAUUGGGGUCUUCUGGGGGAUCUCCUGGGGUUUCACUCAAAGGCAGAGGCUUCGCCCACUCUGACACGUGUAAGAUAAGUCUUACAUUUCAACUGCACCCAACCAACAGGAACUGAGUUCUCCAGGUCCCCUAAUGCUGUCUGCAAAGUACCCAGGGUGUGGUGCUGGGGAAACAUUCCCCAGGCACACAGAUUUGUACUGUGCCUGCUCCUCCUAACCAGUCCCGAGGUAUUGCAGAUCAGCCACAGUCUCCUGAGACCGGUGGCAUUCGGCGGUACAGCCUGGGUGUGGAGACCAUCAUAAUAAGCACUAGUUUCUUGGGACAAAUGGUACAGAUGUACCAUUCUCUUACAGGGGUCAGUUUCUGUGCUCCUAGGGGCAAAAUAGCAUUCUAAGGAAAGUAAACUGACAUCUUUCUAGGAGAGACCUUGGUUCAAAAUAGAUAAAAGCAGCCUUUAAAAGACACCUGGCAUAAUUGAUCAUGCCUGAGCAGAGAAUUGCAUUCCAUUUCUAGGGUGGGUAUGAGACCCUCGAGGGCUGACACAGCCCCCUUAUUAGUAGGCAGAGUGCUGUCCAUUGACUUUGGUCCACAUUCAGCAAUACAGGUCUAUGAGUAAUGUCUCUACAUGAGACACUCCCUCCAGCCUUCCCGUUUUUAGCUCUUGGUGACUGGGAAGAUAAAUGCUCAUUUAUUGAAUGUCAACAGCACAGUUUUGAACUGAGCAAGUGUUUUCCCAACCUUGUGUCUGACAGGGUGACAAAAUGAAUAGAGAUAAGGCUGUUUAAGGCUGUGCUAGGCUGUCUGACUGCCUUGUUAUUUCUACCUUUCCUUUGGUGUCCCUGGAACCUGGCCGCAGCCCCCUAGCUUCCGUCCUACCCUGAACCAAGGGGACUUGUUAGUGGGUAUUUAAGCCACAGCUCUUUAAACUCCAUGACUGGGUGGAACUCUACUGACC